rnacentral:rRNA from 1 species
GAUGAACGCUGGCGGCGUGCCUAAUACAUGCAAGUCGAGCGAGCGGACGAGAAGCUUGCUUCUCUGAUGUUAGCGGCGGACGGGUGAGUAACACGUGGAUAACCUACCUAUAAGACUGGGAUAACUUCGGGAAACCGGAGCUAAUACCGGAUAAUAUUUUGAACCGCAUGGUUCAAAAGUGAAAGACGGUCUUGCUGUCACUUAUAGAUGGAUCCGCGCUGCAUUAGCUAGUUGGUAAGGUAACGGCUUACCAAGGCAACGAUGCAUAGCCGACCUGAGAGGGUGAUCGGCCACACUGGGACUGAGACACGGUCCACACUCCUACGGGAGGCAGCAGUAGGGAAUCUUCCGCAAUGGGCGAAAGCCUGACGGAGCAACGCCGCGUGAGUGAUGAAGGUCUUCGGAUCGUAAAACUCUGUUAUUAGGGAAGAACAUAUGUGUAAGUAACUGUGCACAUCUUGACGGUACCUAAUCAGAAAGCCACGGCUAACUACGUG